AGUAAAUUCUUGGCAUAAGUUUCAUGCAAUCAUAGUAACAAGUGCUUCGUUAAUGCUUAUGGUUUUCAUAAAACUUAAUGAUUCUUGCUUGUAUCUCUAUUAUGCAAUCAUGUAGGGGACUUGUGGGGAAUGUUUUGGGUUGUCGUAUGCAAUCAUCCAAUUCAAUAACGUUAGGAAAAUCUGAAGGUUAAUUUAAGCGAACCUAAUUAACUUGGGGCAUUGAGAAUUCAUGGUUUAUUGAAAAGCAAUUGGAAAUCGUUUUGUACGCAAGUAUAACAUGUGUGGAGAUGAACCCCUUAGCUAGCCUUCCAUUCACCCAUUUAAAUCAAAUUCGUUUUUAC
rnacentral:lncRNA from 1 species